rnacentral:piRNA from 1 species
UCAAAGCACAGGUCCCUCCAGCCGUCACUCC